GACGAACGCUGGCGGCGUGCUUAACACAUGCAAGUCGAACGGAAAGGCCCUGCUUUUGUGGGGUGCUCGAGUGGCGAACGGGUGAGUAACACGUGAGUAACCUGCCCUUGACUUUGGGAUAACUUCAGGAAACUGGGGCUAAUACCGGAUAGGAGCUCCUGCUGCAUGGUGGGGGUUGGAAAGUUUCGGCGGUUGGGGAUGGACUCGCGGCUUAUCAGCUUGUUUGUGGGGUAGUGGCUUACCAAGGCUUUGACGGGUAGCCGGCCUGAGAGGGUGACCGGCCACCAUGGGACUGAGAUACGGCCCAGACUCCUACGGGAGGCAGCAGUGGGGAAUAUUGCACAAUGGGCGGAAGCCUGAUGCAGCAACGCCGCGUGCGGGAUGACGGCCUUCGGGUUGUAAACCGCUUUCGCCUGUGACAAAGCGUGAGUGACGGUAAUGGGUAAAGAAGCACCGGCUAACUACGUG
rnacentral:rRNA from 1 species